rnacentral:rRNA from 1 species
AAAGUUGCAAAGAACUUUGAAGAGAGAGUUCAAGAGUACGUGAAACUGCUCGGAAGGAAACGGGUGGAUCUUCGAAGUCCGAGCGGAGCGGGAUUCAGUGGCGGGCGGCGAGGGGUGUUUGAACUUCGUACUCCCUCGCGGGGACGAGGGGCGAGCACCGUUCUCCCGUCAGCCGCGCACUUCUCGCUCCCGGUGGACGCCGCAGCCGGUCUGGCGUCGGCAGUGAGGACUGGCCGGGCGAUGGCGUGGGCGUCGAUCUCGCAUCGGCGUCCCGAUUCUGUACCGGUCGUGUUCCCGGUGCGACGCCGGUCCGAGGGAAAGUGUCCGGACUAGUUCCGGACGUGCCGCGGUCUCGCCAUGAGAAUGGCAGAGCGGGAGAGUGGUCCGGUCCUACCGGCCGUGUUGCCCACCAAGAGCGUGAGCGACCGGAAAAAGGUGAGCCGUAAGAUCGCGACCUAGCCCGCUAAGGCGAACCGAGGGCUUGCGGCGAGUAGGUCGGUAUUCCACCCGACCCGUCUUGAAACACGGACCAAGGAGUCUAACUUGUGCGCGAGUCAGUGGGACUCGAUUAAGCCCACGGGCGCAAUGAGAGUGAAUUUUUGUGUCGUGAUCCCGCGCUUCGGCGUGGGCGCAGCGACGGCCCGACUAAAAAGUUGUCCAGCGUAUCUGGCGCCGGUCGGAGCCCGAGCGUACAGGUUGGUACCCGAAAAGAUGGUGAACUAUGCCCGGGCAGGUUGAAGCUAGAGGAAACUCUGGUGGAGGACCGCAGCGGUUCUGACGUGCAAAUCGAUCGUCGAACC